UUUUUUUUUUUUUUUUUCUUUAAAUGUCCCCUCUUUACUCUUAAUUUUUUAUUCUAAAAAAAAAACUUUUAAUUUUAAAAAUUUAGCAAUUUUAGCUAAAUAAAUAAAAUUUGUUUAUCAAAUUAAUCAUAGAUCCUCAUCAAAGUUAAUGAUUUUUAUCAUUCGGUAAUAAAAAAAACUAAAGAAUUUAAUGACUAAUAGCUAAUAUUAAUCAUCAAACCGUUUGUAGCCUAUAAUGAUUAAAAACGUAAGCGUCGACUGUAAAAUUAAAUAUUUAAAUUUUUUAUGAACUUAAAUUUGGAUUCUACGUUUAUGAUAUCAGGAUUAAUAUAUAGAUAUUUGGAUAGAAAGUUUACAUAAUCAAAACAAAAAAAAAAAAACUAAUAUCACCACCAAACUUAACUAACUAUAAAUUUUCAAAU
rnacentral:lncRNA from 1 species